UACGGAGGGCGCAAGCGUUGUUCGGAAUCACUGGGCGUAAAGCGCGUGUAGGCGGCCGGGCAAGUCGGAUGUGAAAUCCCGAGGCUCAACCUCGGAACUGCAUUCGAAACUGCCCGGCUCGAGUCCCGGAGAGGAUGGCGGAAUUCCCGGUGUAGGGGUGAAAUCCGUAGAUAUCGGGAGGAACACCAGUGGCGAAGGCGAAUCUCUGGACAGUUACUGACACUGAGGCACGAAGGCCAGGGGAGCAAACAGG
rnacentral:rRNA from 1 species